CAGGGAAUAGUUUAUAAUAAAAUAUUAAUUUUGGAAAUUAAUGAGAAAGUAUUUUCUUUUUCUCUGA
rnacentral:tRNA from 1 species